rnacentral:rRNA from 1 species
UACGUAGGCAGCGAGCGUUGUUCGGAAUUAUUGGGCGUAAAGCGCGUGUAGGCGGCUCGGUAAGUCUGCUGUGAAAGUCCAGGGCUCAACCCUGGAACGCCGGUGGAUACUGUCGAGCUCGAGUCCGGAAGAGGCGAGUGGAAUUCCUGGUGUAGCGGUGAAAUGCGCAGAUAUCAGGAGGAACACCAAUGGCGAAGGCAGCUCGCUGGGACGGUACUGACGCUGAGACGCGAAAGCGUGGGGAGCAAACAGG